rnacentral:rRNA from 1 species
AUUCCCUACGGGGGGCAGCAGUGGGGAAUAUUGCACAAUGGGGGGAACCCUGAUGCAGCGACGCCGCGUGAGUGAAGAAGUCAUUCGUGAUGUAAAGCUCUAUCAGCAGGGAAGAAAAUGACGGUACCUGACUAAGAAGCCCCGGCUAACUACGUGCCAGCAGCCGCGGUAAUACGUAGGGGGCAAGCGUUAUCCGGAUUUACUGGGUGUAAAGGGAGCGUAGACGGCAGCGCAAGUCCGAAGUGAAAGCCCGUGGCCC